GGACAGCCAGGCCUCCUUUAGCCCCAGCUGCCUCAACUAGAGCCCCAGGAAAACAGCUGGAACCAUCCGUCUCCUUGGCAGAUCUUGCCUAGCUGUCCUUGCCGUCAUCUCCUCCCCCCAGCUCUCUGCAGUGCUGCAAGAAGGCAGAACUCACAGCCCUGCUUUACGGACCAGGAAGCUGAGACUUAGAGACGUGGAAGUGAAUUGUUGGAAGCCACGCCACUAGGAAGUGGAGCGUGGCUGACCUUCCACACUGGUGUGCACGCUGGAGGCCUGUCCAGACCCAGAACGUCAGCUUGGGGGCUCCCGGAGGGUGAAGCCAAAUCUUCCGUCAUCUUCGCUCUGCCUUCAGGGACACUGCCUUCCAAGGGAGUCACUGAGUUCGGGGAGAGACCAAGAGGGCCGACACUGGGGAAACACAAAAGCUGCACCGAAGGUAAGUCCCUCAUGUCUCCUCCCCACCCCCUUCCGGAAAACUUUCUGACCUCAGGUGACACUGCUUCUGGGAGGGGUGGGGGCCAGAACCCAGCAACUCCUGACCCUCUUGUCUCAACUUCCUAGGAAAAGAAGGGACUGAAAGGGUACCCUGGCCCUCAGCAACUACCCUAUUGGAAAACAAAGGUGGAAACAACCACCCUAUUGGAAAACAAGUUGGACACAGAGAACCCCAUCUUGGGGAAGG